AAUGUAUGACGCCCUUGACUUUUUGUCCAACGUUUGACCAUUCGUCUUAUUCAAAAAAUUUAUAUAAUUAUCAUUUAUUUUAUUAUGACUUGAUCCAUCAUUAAAUGUUCUUUAAGUAUGACAUAAAUAUUUUCAUACGUGUACAAAAAUUUUGAAUAAAACAAAUGGUCAAACGUUGGUUGAAAAGUCAACGGCGUCAUACAUA
rnacentral:pre_miRNA from 1 species